UAUGGCAGGUUAUUGCUGAACUGUCCAAUCACUAGAAUGGCUCUAAAGAUCUGUGAAUCGACUCCCAACGUUUACCUCAAAGAGCCGAUUGAAAGAGCCGAUUCGUUCACGAACCAGAGAUUUUUUUUUUUAUUAUAUUUGUAGCAAGUACUGAUGCAUUCCAAUAAUAGAAAGCAAACACACAAAGCAUAACAAAAAGGUGCAGAAAAAUUCACGAACCACAAAUUUUACCCGACACAUCACGACUCCUCAGUAGAGCUGUUCGAGUCCCAAUGCCUGAGAUCAGAGAAUCGAUUCUUUUAGGGAUUGACUCGGAGUAGUGAAAAAAACAGAUAUAGGUGUUGCCUCCCCCCGCGUACCUACACUCUCUGAUCACAGGUCUGUGAAGUGGAGUGACAGUGUGGAGCAGUGGCAGUGAUCAGGAGUGGAGUUCUUCCUGCAGGGCUAUUUGGACAGGAGGAGCCUCCGCUGGCCUUCAGAGCUGGAAAGUAUGUGUACUGUGGCCACUGGCCCACCUCCCAGCCUGGGAACGGAAGCCGGGAGUCGCCAGGGAAAACAACUAGACAAUCAGUGCCCUGGGCUUUGCAACGGAUAGCUUCCCCCACCCUCAUGCUCCAAGCGGCCACCCCCACCCCCAGCGCUGAACCCUGGCCAGCCCCAGCUGCCUGGCCAGAUGUGGGAGAAAGGGAGAGGCAGCGUCCUACAGGGGCCAAGGGCCUGAAAACAGAGACAGGCUGCAGAGAAAGGGAAGAAAGUGGAGAGAAGCAGAACAGAAGAUGUGGUGAGAGAAUGAGAGAGAGGAGGAGAGAGACUGACAGUGAGAGAGAGAACAUCUGUGCUCUUUGCAGCAGACUGUGUUCCCCAGCUUAUUAUAAGAUGUGCUGUUUUCCUUCAGACGGACUUGGUCCCCUUACCCAAAUUCUCAGAUAAUGAGCACAUGUAGCGAUGUCCACCAGAUUCCGCUUUAGAGCUGGAACCAGUUUUGAAUUAGUAAAACACGCAGCAAAGAGCUGCAGAAUGUUCAGCAGAGCAAUGCACCAAACUAAACACACUAAAGGAGCCACUGACAGACUCGCUGUAAGCCUGUGGAGAACCAGUUCAUGCUGUGGGAAGAUGGAGUAAUAAUUUGAGGCCAGGUAACCUGAUACCGACUCUUAGGGAACAAACUUUGAAAUGGAAAUGCAAACCCAAUUCACUAUGCAGUCAUUCAAUGCUACUUUGCAAAAAAGAGCCUUCCUACACCACCUGAAAGAACUUUGCCCUUUAAAAAAUACUGAGAGCCAAAUUAAAGAGUCCAAACCUGUCCCACAGGAUGACAAGUUACCCGAGGUGAAACAGAAAAGCACAUUAAUCUUGUCUCCAUAUAAACUCCAGAACUCUGACAUGUUCUCUCAUUUCAUCUCCAGGAUCAGUUCCUACAGCUACACACAGGACAGAAUAGUGCACAACUACCUGCGUUCUCCUUGUUAGCAUUGAGUGUAUUCUCCCUCACGUGUCCUUUUAUAUCAUCCUGGAAUUUUCUUCAGUCACAAAGCUCCCUCUUUUAUCUCCAGCUAUGACACAUUUUUAUAGUAACUAAGUCUGAGAUGAUAGCAUCGUCAGCUGUUUAUUUAGCUGAU